GUCCCGGUAGCUCAAUGGCACAGCAUUUUCCAUUGUUCGGAAAAGGAUGCCAGUUCGACUCUGGCCCGGGGCC
rnacentral:tRNA from 1 species